CAAGAACAGACGCAGAGCGGACCAUGCCGACGCGCGCAGAGGGAAAUGGUGGGAGCGGGAAGACGGUGUGCGUCACCGGCGCCGGCGGGUACAUCGCCUCCUGGCUCGUGCAGCUCCUCCUCUCCCGCGGCUACGCCGUCCACGGCACCGUCCGCCACCUCGGCGAGGAGAAGACCGGCCAUCUGAGGCGGUUAGAGAACGCUUCCGAGAACCUCAGGCUCUUCAAGGCCGACCUCCUUGAUUACGACGCAAUGGCAGCUGCCAUCGUGGGAUGCCAGGGAGUUUUCCAUGUCGCCACUCCCGUUCCUUCGGGAAUCUUAACCGAUCCAGAGCUACAAAUGUUGGGCCCUGCUGUUACUGGCACCACGAAUGUGCUCAAGGCCGCCUCUGCCGCCUCUGCCCAGAGAGUCGUCGUCGUGUCAUCCAUGGUCGCCGUCGAGAUCAACCCCAAGGACUGGCCCCAAGGUAAAAUCAGAGAUGAGAGCUGCUGGUCGGACAAAGAAUUUUGCAGGAGCAACGAGAGGUGGUACCCAGUUGCUAAGAUCGCGGGGAGGCGGCGGCACUCGAGUACGGGCGGGAGACCGGGCUCCGCGUGGUGACUCUGAAUCCGGCGCUGGUGUUCGGUCCCCUGCUCCAGCCGAGCAUCAACACGAGCAGCCAGUUCCUCAUCUACUUCCUCAAAGGAGGCCCUGACGAGACGAGGGACAAGCUGUGGCACAUCGUCGACGUCCGCGACGUCGCGGACGCGCUGCUCCUGCUCUACGAGGCGCCCGAGGCCACGGGCAGGCACAUCUGCGCGCCUCACUUCAUCACCGCCCGGGAGCUGCUGGGCUUGCUCAAGAGCAUGUACCCCGGGUACCCCUGCAUAGCCGAGGAGAGUAUACGUGACAUGGAUCACCCGGCUCCGAUGACCUCCGGGAAGCUGGAAAAGCUGGGGUGGAGCUCCCGGCCACUGAGGGAGACGAUCACGGACACCGUCGAGUUCUGCCGGGAGGCCGGGUUUCUUGAGGACGUGGAUGGUUUCCCCUCAUCCUCUAGAUUUCUUCCAUUCGCCCGGCCAUGGCUGCCGCCUCAUCCUCCCCAGCGAGCUCGCCAAGCCCGCCAACUCCGAGGGCACCAAGCCCGUCACCAAGUUCACCUCCUCUUAGAUCGCUAGCCUUUGGCAGCGCUUGUAGUUACGGGCCAAUAGCUCCUAUGCGACGUGUUUGAUGUGAAUUUGCUUGAGUGCGACGUU